UACGAAGGGUGCAAGCGUUACUCGGAAUUACUGGGCGUAAAGCGUGCGUAGGUGGUUUGUUAAGUCUGCUGUGAAAGCCCCGGGCUCAACCUGGGAAUGGCAAUGGAUACUGGCAGGCUAGAGUGCGGUAGAGGGUAGUGGAAUUCCCGGUGUAGCGGUGAAAUGCGUAGAGAUCGGGAGGAACACCAGUGGGCGAAGGCGGCUACCUGGACCAGCACUGACACUGAGGCACGAAGCGUGGGGAGCAACAGGAUUAGAUACC
rnacentral:rRNA from 1 species